GUUUCGUUUACUGAAAGAGGAAGUAUCCAGGGAAGAAGUGUUUCACAUCAGAGCUGAAUCCAAGAAGGAAAUAAAACAGUGAAGUUAAUCUCUUCAGCAUCAGCUCCAGAUGAAGUGGACAGAGUUGACCCAGAGGAAUAUAUGGUAAACAAAAGAAAAUAAGGACAAACAAGGAACACAAUAGUCCAGGCAUAGCAGGAAAGUGAAGAGGAGGCCAGGGAUGGGAACUGGAGUGGAUGGCAGCCUGCCAGAUACACCCAGCCACAAUGGUAUUACCAAUCUUUAUGAUGAUGGGACAACAACCAUCCUAAGCAAUGUCUUGGAAAAGGAUCCUUUCCCUAUUAGAACUGGAGUCAAGCAAGGAUGUGUGAUUCCUCCAAAACUCUUUUUCCCUCUAUAUCAGUUAUUCUGUAUCAUAUUGCUGACAAAAUUCUAUCUGGAGUCAGAAUCCAGUACUGGAUGGACAGGAAUCUUUUUAACAUCAACUGAUUAUGUUCCAAAUACAGGAUAACUAACACCUCUAUUAAUGUUUUUCAAAAUAUUAAUUGUUGUGUCAUGUGCUCACUCAAUUGAAUUGUUCCAGGUCACUUGAUUGUUUAUCUGAAAUAUAUUAAAUUCUUGGACUUAC